rnacentral:rRNA from 1 species
GUAGGCGGUUUAAUAAGUGAAUAGUGAAACCUGGUGGCUCAACCAUACAGACUAUUAUUCAAACUGUUAAACUCGAGAAUGGUAGAGGUAACUGGAAUUUCUAGUGUAGGAGUGAAAUCCGUAGAUAUUAGAAGGAACACCGAUGGCGUAGGCAGGUUACNUGGGCCAUUUCUGACGCUAAGGCACGAAAGCGUGGGGAGCGAACCGGAUUAGAUACCCGGGUAGUCCACGCCGUAAACGAUGGAUACUAGCUGUUGGAGGUAUCGACCCCUUCAGUAGCGAAGCUAACGCGUUAAGUAUCCCGCCUGUGGAGUACGGCCGCAAGGCUAAAACAUAAAGGAAUUGACGGGGACCCGCACAAGCGGUGGAUUAUGUUCUUUAAUUCGAUGAUAACCGAAGAACCUUACCAGGGCUUGACAUCCAGGGAAGGUCUGCGAAAGUAGACUGUGCCUUUUGGAACCCUGUGACAGGUGAUGCAUGGCCGUCGUCAGCUCGUGUCGUGAGAUGUUAGGUUAAGUCCUUCAACGAGCGCAACCCUUGUGAAUAGUUGUAUUUUUCUAUUCAGACUGCCCCGGUAACGGGGAGGAANGANGGGGAUGAUGUCANGGUCAGUAUUUNCCNUUACGCCCUGGGCUAGAAACGUAAUACAAUGGCUAGUACAAUGCGCAGCGAAGCC